ACAAUCUAGUUACUCUGCAGCAGACGGGGACGCAAACUCUGGGGCGCCUUCCCUUCGGAUGGACAGAGAGUGCGGCCGGGCGGCGAGCGGCAGGAAGGAGGUGCUGUGCUGGCUACCGGUGACCCAAAGAUGAUGAUAAAUAUGUUCCUGCCCACAAGGAGCUAGCGGUCCACAGGGUGUUCCUCUUGCUGAUGACACGAGUCCUCUUUGAAUCUACUUACAAGAUUCUGAAGUCUGAACAGAGAAUUUUGGCACUGCACUGGGUAGGAAAAAUAUAUAUUCAUAAAACACAUAAUACACACCUUUGAGAAAAUUGAUUACUGCAAAAUGGAAGUUUAUGUGCCUUCUCUUAUUUUUAAUUUAUAAAUAAAAUAUAUGACAAGUGCAUAUAAAGCUAUAACACAUAGUCUUUUAUGUUCAGAUGACAACUGAAUUUGUAAUUAUAAUUUUCAAACUCAUUACAAAGGUAAUGUUUCUAAACUGGCAAAUGAAAGCAACAUUUCUUUUCAUUUUCUUGAUGAGAUAACACAUUUCUUAAAGUUGCAAAAGCUUUUUUCUUUACUGAAAAAAGUUUCUUCAAAUAUUCGUUGCUACUUUUUUGUUUUUGCUGCAAAAGAAAUAUUUGGCGUCAUAAUGGGUAGAUCACACAUCUUACAAAAAUCUCCAUAAUACUAUUAAGUAUUGCAAGGAAUGUCUUCCUAAACACAUAUGAAAAUACAAUUUUGCUGAGGCCAAACCGAUAUUUUCCAAGUUUGCCUGGCAGAAAAACUUUGUGGGCAUCUAUCUGUGUGUGCACUUAUGAAAUGCUUUUAAAAGUUAUACUCUUGGGAACAGGAACUGAAAGUUUGACCACAGUUGAAAAUCCUUUUAUAGUCCUGGGGCUGACCAACUAUCACAUGGGUAACAGCAGAAAAGGUUGGAGAGAAGGGAUCCUGUUGUUCAGAAGUUUGUUACCAGUAAGAGAGAAAAGGAAUUAUUUUUUUGUGUAGUCCUAAAAAGAGUAGUGAAAAAGUAGUCCUCUUCAAGAGUGAACUAAAACUUAUAUAUUCAUAAUCUGCUCUAAAAAUAUAUGACUUACAUUUCUAUACCUUCAACAUAGAAGUUUAUUCAUGAAAACCCUUAAAUUCAGUGGUAGUUGUUAUCAUCCUUAAAACCUGAAUUGUUUUUAAAUCCUAAAAAAAUUUUAAAAUAAGGCUUUAUAUAUUCACAGACAAAUUAAUCCAAGUGAUGUGGUAGAAAGCAUUGUACAUAAUGAUUUUUAGUGAUAACAGAACUGGAGUAAGUCACAAGUUAUUGCCAAUAUGAAACUUUUAUAGCUUUACAAGUAAAAAUCCAAGUAGGAAUAAAAUUAAAAAGGCAAAUAGAAAACUGGGACUACUACUAAUAAAUAUGUCAAACAUCAGAUGUAAAGAUCUGUUGUAAGAAAAACACUAACAUCUUAGUUUAAAAGAUGAUGAGGUAUAGGAACAAAUAAUGAGGAAUGCAAUUCUAAUGCAAGAAGUUAGUGAAAGAAAUGUAAAGGUAUGCUCCACUUAUGAGAUCUAGCUAGUAAAAAGUAGUUUUCAGUAAUGAUGUUGUAACAAGAAUGUGAGGAGUUGGGUGCUUUCAGGAGUGGUGGGAAAAGGUUAUAUUUGUUCAGAUUUCCGUAAAGUGAUGUGAAUAUUUCUGUUAAGAGCCUUAAAUGUUUCCAAAGCAACAUUUUAACUCUAUUAGUUUUGAAAAGGUUUGGUUGCAAGGAAUCCAACUUGCUUUAAAAAGAUAGAAUUUUAUAUGUUCUUAUGGGAAGUCUUUGUAGGCAGUUAAGAGCUGGCUAGGUGGUUUUACAGUCCUUAGGGACCAAGAUCCUUCAUCUUUUCUCUGGUUCUCUGAACAUGUGAUUUUUGCCUAGUGUUUUGGAAGAUCCAGUAUCCAUAUUCUAGCAACAGGAAGGAAAUAUUUGUAGAAGAUUCAUGCUCCCUCCCUUGAAGGACAUCUUUUGAAAAGUGUCCAUACCUCUUCCACUUAUAUUCCAAUGGCUAAAACAUUGUCCAUGACCACGCUACACUUAAAAACAGCUUGGAAGAUGUAGCUUUUGUUCUGGAAGAUAAGUUUGGGGGAGUUAUUACCAUGGAAAAGAAGAAACUAGAUAUUAGGGCCCAACUGACAGUAUCUGGCAGUUUCCCUUCCAAGAACCUAACUUAAUGAAAUAAUUAAAGGAGACAAAAUUUAUAUAAAUAUGAUCAUUUCCAUAUAUUUAUAAUGGUAGUAAUUUGAAAUUGAUUAAAUUGUCCAGCAAUAGAGCAAUAGUUGGAUAAAUCUGAAUACAUUCAUAUUAUAGUCAAUAAAAUAUUUCUAAUGAAUUUUUAAAGACAUAUAAAAUUAUGUAUAAUGCAGUGUUAACUGUAACAAGCCAAAAUCUUCACUAAAGAUAUAGUGUAUCUCUAAAUUUGUGUGUAUACACACAUACAAAUAUACAUUCAGGUUGCAGAAGCUUUACUUCUCAGUAGAGCCAUACAGUCACUUAGAAAUAUCGAUCAUAUUGCAGCCUGGCUAUCUCUUUUAGGUUAGGGCAGAUUGAGAUAGUGUUCAGUGGCAUUUGACAAGCAAGUGAAGGUUGCUAAUAGUCAUGCCAAUGGAAGAAGCAAAGAGCAAAACUUUAAAGACUUUUUUUUUCUUGUGUAUAAGAGAAAGAGGUUGAGUGCUGCAGUUCUGGAUUAACAAUGUUUUUUUUUAAGGAUUUUAAAAAGUAUUAUACUGCCAUAGAAUAUUAGAGUGAGAAUUUAACUCAAAGCUACGUGAAAAAUCACAAUUAGAUAGCAACCUGUGAUAAAUUCUUUGCAGAAAUUAGAAUGAGAGUAGUUUCCACCACCACCUCCAACCUAAGCUGACUUCACUCUUUGGAACUUGUAAGAGAAGCAGUAUGUUGAGAGCCAUGAACUUUAGAAACAUACUGUCUGGGCUCAGUUCCUGAUUGUACCACUUAGCGACUGUCUGCUGUUGGCAUUCCUUAACCACUGAUAGGAAUCCUCUUGUGUAAAACAUAAAUAAUAACGGAAAAGAGUUGGAUAAAUUAUAUCAUACAUAUACCACAUGAAUGCUGGUGUAACUACUCUAAUUAAACAAAAUAGACUUUAAACCCAAACCAUUAUUAGAAAGAGUUAUUUUAUAAAUGAUUGAAGUUUCAAUGCAAUAGGAAGGUGCUCCUAAUGACGUAACCUUAAAAUAGAUUAAGGAAAAUUUGACAGAAUGGCAAGGAGAAAUAAACAAAUCUACAACGGCAGUAGAUAUUAACUCACUUCCUUUAGUAAUUGAUGAAAUAAAAUGAGCAAAAAAUCAGUGAGGGAAUAAAGUUGAAAGAUAAGAUUAAGAAACUGGAUCUCCAUAGACUUAUAUAGACACUUGUAUACAGCUGCAAAAUUCACAUUUUUUUGAAGAACACAUGGAACAGUUACAAAAAUAGACCGUAUGCUGAGUUAUAAAUUAUGCCUCAACUGUUUUCAGAGAACUGGAAUUAUACCAGUGAAAUUAAGCUGCAGAUGAAUAACAAAAAUGUAGCUAGAAAAGCUUCAAGAUUAAAGAGAAAUCACAAUAGAAAUUAUAAAUAUUUUAGACUAAUUAAAAAUGAACAUCUCACAUGUAGCAACUGCAGAUUUCCUAUAAGAAGUAUUUACUGGGAAAUUUUUACCUUAAAUAAAUGAUAAAUGUCU
rnacentral:lncRNA from 1 species